rnacentral:lncRNA from 1 species
CAUGGAUUAGUUGCCCAUUCAAAUUCAAACAUCCUUUGAAUUUGAAUGGCCAACAAACCAAUCUUUAUCUAGAUAAAUGGCACACAAGGGAGGGUGUGGGAAGGCUUCUGUGUGGGAGAAAAUUUAUGAGAAGUUGUUUCUCGUGAAUUCAAAUGGGCACAGAUAAGUGAGGUGGCACAGGGAGAUGAGGUCAAAGUGGUUUCAACCUAAUUGAGCCAACCUAAUCAAAAUAGGUUAGGCACAAUUAGACUAAGUUAAACCCAACUUAAUUAAGCUUAAUUAGGCUCAAUAAAAUCUUAAUCAAAUCAAGAAUUGACUAAACCCAACCCC